UCUCAAUUAUGGAGUUCUCUGUGAGGUCAUUUGCAAUAGUGUCCCUCCUACUGUUGGUUUCCCUGUCGUCUGGUUCGUAAUUUAUUCAACUCCAUAGCUUGUUACAUACUAUAUACAUGUUAAUUUACGAAAUUUGAAAUAAUCAGAACAACUUUAAUUUUCAUAGCAAGCUAGCAAAACAUUCGUAUUUGUCUACUUUGGACUGUAUUAUAUUUUAAACUGUGUUUGUGUAUCUUAUACUCUUUCCUUGUUUUAAACAGAUAUGAGUGGUCCUCUUGUGGUGGAUGCUAAACGAUGUAACUGGAAUCUUUGUAGAAAAUAUUGCGCACAUUUUGGUAAGCCAGCAUGCUGCCCAGGACCAUUUGGUCCGUGUCGUUGCACAGCAGCUUGUCCACGUAUUACGAGUCGUCCUCUUGUGGAGGAUGCUCGAGGUCGACAUUGUGACGUGGAACUUUGUAUACAAUACUGCAAGCUUCAGAAUUAUCCAGGAGGAUGCUGCUCAGCCUUUAACGGCCGGUGUUCAUGCGGAAAAAUUUGCCCAAACGAAGAGCCUUUCAUUAAGGAAAUAGUAACCGCUUGAUGCUUUGCUGCAACAGCAGGCAAAUAAAUUACUUAUCUAUCUGUGAAGCUGGUUGAGCUAAAUAAACUGUAGAUCUCUACUUGGAGACUACAUUAAACUGGCUUUAAUUAAAUAAACUGUAGUUUUUGCUUGGGGACUACAUCGUGAAAAUGUAGCCAUCUUUAUUUACCGGUAUCGUGUUGUAUACUUUAUUAAACUUGGAAUGAGUAUAUUGUGAAAUAAUUUUUGUUGUCUUCUUUAAGUUUUUAUCA
rnacentral:lncRNA from 1 species